CAAUAGCGUAUAUUAAAGUUGUUGCAGUUAAAAAGCUCGUAGUUGGAUUUGUGGCGUACGGUGUGUUCCGGGCACUUGUUGUCUGAGUAACCUGCUGUUGCCAUCCUUGGGUGGAACCUGUGUGGCAUUAGGUUGUCGUGCAGGGGAUGCCCAUCAUUUACUGUGAAAAAAUUAGAGUGUUCAAAGCAGGCUUAUGCCGUUGAAUAUAUUAGCAUGGAAUAAUGAGAUAGGACUUUUUUGCUAUUUUGUUGGUUUGCGCAAAGAGGUAAUGAUUAAUAGGGACAGUUGGGGGUGUUCGUAUUCCAUUGUCAGAGGUGAAAUUCUUGGAUUUUUGGAAGACGAACUACUGCGAAAGCAUUUACCAAGGAUGUUUUCAUUAA
rnacentral:rRNA from 1 species